UGGGUACUCCCUCCGUCCGAAAAUACUUGUCAUCAAAAUGGAUAAAAGGGGAUGUAUCUAGAUGAAAGCACAAUCAUAUUUAGUUCUAAAUACAUCUCUUUUUAUCCAUUUUGAUGACAAGUAUUUUCGGACGGAGGGAGUAACAC
rfam:Triticum urartu cultivar G1812 contig767378, whole genome shotgun sequence.